CGCGACUGGUUAGAUCUUGUCGUGAUCUCUGGAAAACUGUGACUAUCUCACAUGUCCUGCCCAGCUCGGAUCCCCUGCGCUAACGAGCCAGGCCCCCCUUGAUUGCUGAUUUUACGCUUUUUGGACCAAUUGUGGGUCUCCGGGGGCGGGGUUUUGACAGCUCAGGCCAAGCUCCGGCCGGGAGGGGGGGCCUGGGAGAAGGUGUCGGAAGCCUCAGCAGUAAGAAAACAUGUCAACAGAAUAAAAUAUUAACCAAUGACGGGCCGCCGGGCCCCGAGACCCCUCCUCCUGCCCCGGCCCCCACCGCCCGCCCGCGCCUGCGGCUGCCUGCGCCGGACUGGAGAGCGCGGAGGGCCGACCUGACCCGCCGAAAGGGCCUGAGGCGAGGGGAGCCCGGGUCCCGGGGCCUUGGGGAAGGACCCGCAGCCGCACGCCGGCCCCAAGUGCAAAGCAUUGACACGACCCCGAGCGGAGAGGGGGCGCCCUCCUUCUCCCGCGCCCAGAGGCCCGGCCGCUCUGGCCCGAGCCCCAGCCUGGCCUCCGACCCAGCUCCGGGUCGUGGCGCCGCCUGGGGGUCCCUGCGCCCCGGAAAGAGACAGCAGGCACUGGAAAGCGAGGCCGGUGGGCGGGCGAGUCGGGAGGCUCGGGCGGCCGAGGUCCGGGAGCGGAUCCCAGGUGGCGGGAGCUGGUGCCCUGGCAGGAGGGACUGGCUUAUGCCACCCUGUGCAGGAUCGUCUUCUCAGCUUACAGAGCCUAGUGUGAUUCAACAACCCUCCAUCUCUGCCCCCAACAUGCCCAACUGAUCUGGUGGAGGGAACUGAAGAUGAAGGCCUCUCAGGCACCAUGGAUGGGAUGGGUGUGUGUGAAGGGGGCAGGGUCCCCAGGAGCUGCCCCAGGUCUGGCUGGACAGUUGCACGGGAAGUCCUGUUUGUGAACUCAACGUUUCCACGGCUUUUCCAUUAAACUUUACCCCAAAUCACAC
rnacentral:lncRNA from 10 species